UGACCGUGGAAUCUGUGGGCACCACCGCAGGAACCAGUGGCCUUUCACGUGAAGGAGCACUGCAGCAGCCAGGAGUGGGCCCUGUUGAGCCACUGCCCCGAAGCCCUCCAGCCACUGCACAGCCUGCAGCUGGCCCUGGCGGAGUGAGAACCAGCUACCAACCCCGGGUGCAGCGCCGGUCGCGAGGCCCUCGUCGGGCGUCCCACCGGGACGCCUUGGUCGAACGGCUCGCGGAUGACUCGCGGCUCGCGGAGCACAACGUGAAACGGCGAGCAUUCUCGACAAAUGCACUCGGAUCAAUAAAAAUUAAAACAGCACUAUUUAUAUUUAUCACAGCGCAGGCGCAGCAUUUAAUUUCACUGUGAUCACAGUUGUUUUCAAUAAUUAACAUCGCUAACGUUCGGCGAUGGCGGAUCGCGUUUUAAUCUCGAAAAACUCGACCCCCGCCAGGGCCAGCCAUGUUCGGCGAGCGACGACAUUAUGAGCAGACGACAGGCGCAUCGUCUGCUACUAGCGCUGCUAUGGCAACGGCCAUUCAUUCUUCGAAGCGAAUGCCCUUGUCGACCGUUCCACGAAAGCGGCCGUUUCCCCUCGCUUUUGGAAUGAUUGACAGGAGUGUGACGUAAACGCAUUUUGUGGUCCCGCCCCGGCGCAAUGGCCGCCGUGACGAAACGCGCGGGCGCCAACGAAUCACGAGAGGGCAAGCGAGAGAACGGAAAAGCGAGCUG